GACGAACGCUGGCGGCGUGCUUAACACAUGCAAGUCGAGCGGUAAGGCCCUUUCGGGGGUACACGAGCGGCGAACGGGUGAGUAACACGUGGGUGACCUGCCCUCAGCUCUGGGAUAAGCCUGGGAAACCGGGUCUAAUACCGGAUAUGACUCCAUGACGCAUGUUGUGGGGUGGAAAGCCUUGUGCGGCUGAGGAUGGGCCCGCGGCCUAUCAGCUUGUUGGUGGGGUGAUGGCCUACCAAGGCGACGACGGGUAGCCGGCCUGAGAGGGCGACCGGCCACACUGGGACUGAGACACGGCCCAGACUCCUACGGGAGGCAGCAGGUGGGGAAUCUUGCGCAAGUGGGACGAAAGCCUGACGCAGCGACGCCGCGU
rnacentral:rRNA from 1 species